CCUACGGGAGGCAGCAGUGGGGAAUUUUGGACAAUGGGCGCAAGCCUGAUCCAGCCAUGCCGCGUGUGUGAAGAAGGCCUUCGGGUUGUAAAGCACUUUCGGCCGGAACGAAAUCGCGCGGGCUAUUACCCCGCGUGGAUGACGGUACCGGAAGAAGAAGCACCGGCUAACUACGUGCCAGCAGCCGCGGUAAUACGUAGGGUGCGAGCGUUAAUCGGAAUUACUGGGCGUAAAGGGUGCGCAGGCGGCGUCGCAAGUCAGGCGUGAAAUCCCCGGGCUUAACCUGGGAAUUGCACUUGAAACUACGAUGCUGGAGUAUGGCAGAGGGAGGUGGAAUUCCACGUGUAGCGGUGAAAUGCGUAGAGAUGUGGAGGAACACCGAUGGCGAAGGCAGCCUCCUGGGCCAAUACUGACGCUCAUGCACGAAAGCGUGGGGAGCAAACAGGAUUAGAUACCCUGGUAGUCCACGCCCUAAACGAUGAUGACUAGUUGUUGGAGGAGUUAAAUCCUUUAGUAACGCAGCUAACGCGAGAAGUCAUCCGCCUGGGGAGUACGGUCGCAAGAUUAAAACUCAAAGGAAUUGACGG
rnacentral:rRNA from 1 species